CAAUAGCGUAUAUUAAAGUUGUUGCAGUUAAAAAGCUCGUAGUUGGAUUUGUGGCGGUUCCUGUGGUCCUGUUUGGGUACUUUCGGGGACUGCCAUCUUUGGGUGGAUCCUGUGUGGCAUUAGGUUGUCGUGCAGGGGAUGCCCAUCGUUUACUGUGAAAAAAUUAGAGUGUUCAAAGCAGGCUUAUGCCGUUGAAUAUAUUAGCAUGGAAUAAUGAGAUAGGACCUUGGUACUAUUUUGUUGGUUUGCGCACCGAGGUAAUGAUUAAUAGGGACAGUUGUGGGUAUUCGUAUUCCAUUGUCAGAGGUGAAAUUCUUGGAUUUCUGGAAGACGAACGAAUGCGAAAGCAUUUACCAAGGAUGUUUNCAUUAA
rnacentral:rRNA from 1 species